rnacentral:rRNA from 1 species
UCAGACGAUGCGUCAUGCAUAUCAAUAAGCGGAGGAAAAGAAACUAACAAGGAUUCCCCUAGUAACGGCGAGUGAAGCGGGAAGAGCUCAAAUUUGAAAUCUUAAAGGGUUUCCCUUUACGAAUUGUAGUUUAAAGAAGUGUUUUCUGUUGAGGUUUUGGUAAAAGUUCUUUGGAAUAGGACAUCAUAGAGGGUGAGAAUCCCGUAUUUGACCUUUACUUUCAACUUUGUGAUACACUUUCAAAGAGUCGGAUUGUUUGGGAAUGCAGUCCAAAAUGGGUGGUAAAUUUCAUCUAAAGCUAAAUAUUGGCGAGAGACCGAUAGCGAACAAGUACCGUGAGGGAAAGAUGAAAAGAACUUUGAAAAGAGAGUUAAACAGUACGUGAAAUUGUCAAAAGGGAAGCGUUUGACACCAGUGUUGUUUUUCUGAAAAUCAAUUAAAGAACUGUUUAUGCUAAGCUGUUUAGACUUUAUCAGCUAUCUGUUUAGUUUUGAGCUUUUCUUUAAUGCACUUUUCAGUUAACAAGUCAACAUCAAUUUCUUUUGCUGUAAAAAAGCCUGAGGAAGGUGGCUUGAGAUUCGUCUUAAGUGUUUAUAGCCUCUUGCCUAUGCAGUCGGAGAGAUUGAGGUCUGCAGCGUAGAUCCUUCGGGGCUAAAUGCAUUUGUGCUAAGUUAUAGCAUUUUAUAGACAACUUGUUGACUAUGAUUUGUCUUGUAGCUUACUCGCUUAUGUUAUUUUACCUACGCUUAGGAUGUUGACACACGCGCGUGCUCG